GCUUCCAUAGCUCAGCAGGUAGAGCACUACCUUGGUAAGGUAGAGGUCACGAGUUCAAGUCUCGUUGGAAGCUCCA
rnacentral:tRNA from 1 species